AAGAUCGAGGCCCCCUCGCACGAACCGGGAGCGAGGCCUCCUUGCGAAAAAAAAUAUCUGACGAUCCAGGCUGCCCUCGAUCGUCUCGCUACGAGGACGAGAACCAUGCCCCAGCCGCCAUAGUGGAGCCCUACGCCGCCGCCGAGAUCGGAGAGGAGCCGCCGCCGCCGAGGUUCGAGAGGAGCUGGCCACCACGACCUCCCUCCCCAGGCGGCCGCCACCACCCCCUCCCCAAGCAGCCAUGUACAGCAGGGCGGCGCCCACGCGCCUGGCCUAUGUAGGUCUCGGCCUCCCUCCUCCCUUUGUCCAAGGCCAGGAGCUCCCCCUCCCCGACCCGAUCUGGCGGAGAGAGGGCCAGGCCUUGCCACUCCGGUGGUCGCUGUGGCCAGAUCUGUCCGGGGUAGUCGCCGUAGAGCCUCUAUGGCGGCGGAGUAGCAGCAGCCCGACAGAAGGUGGGUGCCAGAUCGUCGUCCAGCAGCUCGCCGUCGGAGCUUCUCACUACAGGCGAUGGAGGCUGGUGCUACUCAGUCUAUCUAUGAUGUUUGUUUCCUGUGUUUACAUGGCAGAGUGAUUGCUGCACUGGCUUUUGGCUAUGGAUGCAAGUUGGGAACUCAUUCAGUGAUUUGAGGGUGCAGGUAGGGAUGAUGCUGCGGAUGGGAUGGGAAGAUGUGUGUGUGUGCUAGCUGCUUCACAUACGACUCAGAGAAAGAAUUGCUUUGCAGGUUACCAACAUCACGAAUUUCAUACUUAUGGAGUGGAGCCACCAAACAAUUUAUGAGAUUUCCGCCAUGGACGCCGCCUCGCUCAUGGGCUCCUCCUCCGCCGACGCGCGCACCGACGGGGAGCACCGGAUGGGCAUCACCAUCAUGGGCGUCUGCUACGACGGCAGCGUCCUCGCCGCUGACACUCAGGACCAGCACCGAGAGGUUCCACAACUUCGGUUUGGCUAUCAUCAAAAUUGGAGGAGAGCCCGAUGCAUUGGAGAGCAUCAUCCGUGAGUUCCACAAGAUCGAAUUGAGGAGGCAUUAUAACCUGGCAUCAUUUGGAUGACUUUGUCAGUAGGAAGAAUGGCUAACAUGCCUGUUAAAGCUAGAUAAACGCGUAUUGAAGGAACUGGGGUAUGUCCGCCAUGUUGAACACCCUCACAAUGACGGGUACCAUACAAUGUUAGCGAGGACAGUGAUUGGGGGAUUGAUAUUUUCGAAGUAAAGAGGUGCUUGGAGGAGGCACGCGUCGCAGGUUUGACUGUUUGGGCUAUGGUGAUCAUAAACCCCGGAUAACCGACGGAACAGGUACUUUCUGUGACCAACCAGGAGGAGAUAGUAGAAUUUUGUCGAAAAGAAGGUAUACCAAGACAAGCUCUAUAUGGAGGACAUGAAGUUCAAUUCUUUCAGGAAAGUUGCCAGAUCACUUGGGUAUGACGAGAAUGGUAUAUCCAUAGUGUCAUUUCAUUGGGGGGUACUCUGGAGUAUGUGGCAGAAGGGGAAGCUACAUGUUGAUAUGUAAAAUUCCCUUCACGACUCGUUUAGGAAUAACAGAGUUUUGGAGAUGAUGUGAUGGGUGAGAUUCGCAAGGUGGCUUCUGUGACUCUUUGCCCCAACAUAAAUGGUGACUUGCGAUGGAUCCACCGAAGUAUAGAUCUGCGAUUGACAUUUUUAUUGGACCACUGGGUGAGCAUUUGCAACAAAGAGCCAGGGAGUAAGCUGGGAGCGGACAAACAUAAUGCCCUGAACAUGAGUUUGUCCUUGCAUAAUUAUCCAUGUCUGAUGGUAGGAAGAGACAGGAUCAGAUCGCUCACCAGUUAUGAAGAUGUGGUAGUACCGUAGUAGGGUGUGGUAGAUGAACAUGUCUUUAUUUUCCGAAUCGCUUAAUAUUAUAUGAUAUUGUACUGACAAGUAGGAGGUGAUUGCUGAUGGGUGAUUCUAGAUUCUUGAGUGAAUACUAGCUACCAUGUUAUCCUAAGUGCUGUCAACUAUUCAAUUACAAAUAAAAACUCAAGAACGUACUUAGUCUACCACAAAUUGAGAUUUUUUUGCCUCAAAUUUAGUCUGAUACAUUUUCCUUAACGUGACACUCUUUUUAGAGUUAACCCAACAUUUUUCUGUUCCAUCGUAAUCAACUAACUUUGAUAUGCAUGGGUUCAAUGCUAAACAAAGGAGGCACACUUCUCUAGCCUCGAGGUGGUAUCACUAAUAUGUGCCAUGAACUAUACGCAAUUCAGGUUAUGUGACCAGACACUAUAUUUUAUCCCCAUCAUUAUCAGAGCAAUGCAUAAUUUUUCUUUGCUCAUCGUCCUACUAACAAUAACUUGUUCUGCCUAAGUGGUUAUCCCUUAUAGCAUCACCUGCACCUACCAGCCUGAAUGAACUUUGGCGACAAUGCAAACUUGCUGUUAUUGCAGAUGAAAAAAAUAUUGUAAUGUAUGCAAAUGCAAGUGUGAUUUUUCCUUUUAGAAACCCUUUUUCUGUUUUCAUUUUAUUCCUGUCUGAAAUAUAAUAUAUAAAUAAAGAGGUUUAUUAUUCUUCCGUCAUCUUCAGCUCAUGUAUAUUUUAUGUGUUUCUUACUUUCUUUUAACAUUUCUCAAUAUAGUUCUUCUCAACAAAUUUUCAUAUAGCAGAGCUUGGUCCAGCACUCGGACUCUCGGACUCACUGGAUGCAAAUGGAGUGGAGCCUCCUCUGCCAUCUCAGCAUCAGCCGCAGGACGGCACUACAACCAACUAGCACCAUGGAUGGGUCAAGGUUGCUUGUGAUGAGAUCAUCAAUCUCGAAGGACAGGUUGAUGAUAUGGACCUCUUGGACAACUAUGUCGUCGUUGUUGUAAAACAUGGUGAUGGUGUUUCAGUUGAAAUAGGCAAGGGCAGUCAGCCCGAGGCGGCCCUUAUUCAGGCUUCAAGAUCGAGCUGCACCUUUAUCGAUGGAAGUCAUAUCCAUUAUUCCUCCUUAUUCUAUCUUAUAUAUUUAACUGUAUUGACAUAAAAACAGUGUUAGGAUUAUAGACAUGUAUCGUUGUUAUUACCAAUCAGAUCAGUGGUACAAGUCUUUUUUCCUUGAUGUCUGAGUGUUUAGCCACAAGAGGCGUUAGAAGAGCCCGAACAGAACCUACCGAGCCUGGUCGUGGUUAAUGAGGAUUUGCCGGAUAAAUAGCCUGGUCGUGGGAGGCGAAGGGGCACUUCUCGGUCAGAUCUGCAUACGCGGCUGGCUUUUGCGGAAGGGAGGUCAUACCUACGGCGGAUCUAACAUGGAAGUCGCGUGCCCCUUUGCAGUGCAAAUUCUUUACAUGGCUGGCAAUGAAGGAGCGAUGCUGGACUUCGGAUCGCCUUGCGCAAAGGGGUCUACCUCAUCAGGAUGCAUGCCGUUCUGUGAUCAAGAGGACGAAACGAUCAAUCAUAUACUGCUAUCAUGUGUCUUUGCUCGGACUGCUUGGGCGGCCAUCUAUGGCUCGCUGGAUAAACCAGAAUGGACCCCCUCCCCUCAUGAUGUGCUGGCCGAGUGGGCCAUUGACAAGAAGGGAGUGAACAACUUGAGCACGAAGGAUCUACGCACCAUAUUCGCGCUUGUCUGGUGAGAGUUGUGGAAGCACAGGAAUGCUAUUGUAUUUGAUGGAGCACGACCGUCUAUAGAUCAGCUGUUACAAAGAGUGAGAGAUGAGGGUGUGGUCUGGUCCUCUGCGGGACUUCUAAAAAGGAAUGUAACUUCCUUCUUUACUAGGGUAGAGAGGUGGGUGAGUGGUGAGGAUUAGCAUGUAAUAUAAACCCUGUAACCAAUGGUGGAGGCACUCUUUGCCUUUCUUCUUUAAUAUAUGAUAUGCACACUCGUGCAUAUUCGAGAAAAAAAAGAACCUACCGAGCCUUCUGUCCGUGUAGUCUGCAACUUGACAAG
rnacentral:rRNA from 1 species